UACGGAGGGUGCAAGCGUUAAUCGGAAUUACUGGGCGUAAAGCGCACGCAGGCGGUUUGUUAAGUCAGAUGUGAAAUCCCCGAGCUCAACUUGGGAAUGGCGUUUUGAACUGGCUAACUAGAGUGUGUCAGAGGGGGGUAGAAUUCCACGUGUAGCAGUGAAAUGCAUAGAGAUGUGGAGGAAUACCGAUGGCGAAGGCAGCCCCCUGGGAUAACACUGACGUUCAUGCUCGAAAGCGUGGGGAGCAAACAGG
rnacentral:rRNA from 1 species